rnacentral:misc_RNA from 1 species
UUAAGUUCAGCGGGUAUUCCUACCUGAUCCGAGGUCAACCUUUUGUAAAAGAGGUGUGUUUAACGGCAAGCACCCGCUGCACGUCCAAAGCGAGAUGUAUUACUGCGCUCGGAGUGGACAGCGAGCCCGCCACUGUUUUUCAGGGCCUGCGGGCAGCCGCAGGAACCCCAACACAAGCCUGGGGCUUGAUGGUUGAAAUG